AGCAGCCGCGGUAAUUCCAGCUCCAAUAGCGUAUAUUAAAGUUGUUGCAGUUAAAAAGCUCGUAGUUGAAUUUCGGGAUCAGUAUGUUGGUCGUGCUUCGGUACGUACUGUCAUUACUGGUUUCUACCUUCUGAAGAACCAUGAUGUCAUUAAUUUGGUGUCUUGGGGAAUCAGGACUGUUACUUUGAAAAAAUUAGAGUGUUUAAAGCAGGCUCGCGCUUGAAUACAUUAGCAUGGAAUAAUGAAAUAGGACGUUUGAUUCUAUUUUGUUGGUUUCUAGGAUCGACGUAAUGAUUAAUAGGGAUAGUUGGGGGCAUUAGUAUUCAAUUGUCAGAGGUGAAAUUCUUGGAUUUAUUGAAGACUAACUACUGCGAAAGCAUUUGCCAAGGAUGUUUUCAUUAAUCAAGAACGAAAGUUAGGGGAUCGAAGACGAUCAGAUACCGUCGUAGUCUUAACCAUAAACUAUGCCGACUAGGGAUCGGAUGAUGUUAUUUUUAAUGACUCAUUCGGCGCCUUAAC
rnacentral:sRNA from 1 species